rnacentral:rRNA from 1 species
GACGAACGCUGGCGGCGUGCUUAACACAUGCAAGUCGAACGGAAAGGCCCUGCUUUUGUGGGGUGCUCGAGUGGCGAACGGGUGAGUAACACGUGAGUAACCUGCCCUUGACUUUGGGAUAACUUCAGGAAACUGGGGCUAAUACCGGAUAGGAGCUCCUGCUGCAUGGUGGGGGUUGGAAAGUUUCGGCGGUUGGGGAUGGACUCGCGGCUUAUCAGCUUGUUGGUGGGGUAGUGGCUUACCAAGGCUUUGACGGGUAGCCGGCCUGAGAGGGUGACCGGCCACAUUGGGACUGAGAGACGGCCCAGACUCGUACGGGAGGCAGCAGGGGGGAAUAUGGCACAAUGGGCGGAAGCCUGAUGCAGCAACGCCGCGUGCGGGAUGACGGCCUUCGGGUUGUAAACCGCUUUCGCCUGUGACGAAGCGUGAGUGACGGUAAUGGGUAAAGAAGCACCGGCUAACUACGUG